rnacentral:rRNA from 1 species
UACAGAGGUCUCAAGCGUUGUUCGGAUUCAUUGGGCGUAAAGGGUGCGUAGGCGGCGCGGUAAGUCGGGUGUGAAAUCUCGGAGCUUAACUCCGAAACUGCAUUCGAUACUGCCGUGCUUGAGGACUGGAGAGGCGAGUGGAAUUCCCGGUGUAGCGGUGAAAUGCGCAGAUAUCGGGAAGAACACCUGUGGCGAAGGCGGCUCUCUGGGACGGUACUGACGCUGAGACGCGAAAGCGUGGGGAGCAAACAGG